UCUUCGUCCCAAGACUUAAAAUCUUCCCAUUCCCGCAAAAAGCUCAUUUCCUUAGUCAGCUCCAUACUCGUUGUGCAACGUCAUGCCGGAGGAACUCGUGGCGCCAUCACGUUUAAUACGCACUUAACUUUAUGUGCGCCGUUGUUUCAUGCGCCGUCAUUAAUUAUCCGCAAAAAGUUUCAAUCCAAAGGAAGUGGAUAAGGUCUACUUUUGUCGGUCUGUCUCGACUUCCGGUCGAUGCAGCCGGCGCGCCCUAACCUGUACAAACUCGUGACACUUUACUCGCGCUAGGCGAAAGAUUAAUGACACUUGCUUGGCUAACUCUGCCGUUGCAUCCCAUUAAUACAUUACACGAUGCUCAUCUCUCUCUCUCUCUCUCUCUCUUUCUCGCGCUUCUCGACCAUUGACAUCAGUCGACUCAUCGUCGGCAUUGUCGUCGUUCAGAAACGAGUAGAUGUCGCUCUCGGAGAAUCGACGUUCGAGACGCUCUUCUCGCGCGUUAUAUCUCGUAAAUUUCAUUCCAUGGCCAAUCAACGAGCCAAGUCGAAUCGAACGACGACGUUUCUCGACACCAGGCGUCGCCUCUCUCGGCGUUUCCUUCUGCUUAAUCUCGUUAAGUCGACUGACUGUGUUAAUUGCUCUUUGCGAAUUACUUGUGUUCCACGACGUGUUUCUAAGACAUCCGUUCCGAACGAUGUUUCUUGUUGGCCUAGCUUCCGUGCAAUUGAAACAUCCUCUUUUCUCAAAGGAGGAGACGAUUGAAAUACGAUAUGACGCUUAGUUUUACGAGUGUGAAAAUGGAUGACGAAAACAAUUGGAAAAAGAAACAAUAGUUGAAAUUAGGAAUACUUCACUUUACGCGAUUUGCCAAGAUAUAUCUUUGACGGGUGAAAUAUCAUCGGUUGCCCAACAUCGUCUUUCAAACGGAGCAGCAAAUGUCAAUUCCUGCGGAAAGGUUCAUCGUGCAUCCGACUGCAACGGCACGAAAUUGCGACGUAUCUGUCUCCGAGG